GCAUGGGCAUUAAUAUCCUGCAAAAGAAGGGCAAAAAUAAAAGAUGAAAUAUCAACAUCAAUUUCUAUGAGGACCAACAUAAAGAAGCAUUAAAGUGCAAACACAUUCUCAUUUAACUAAUAAGCUCAUUAGGAGUGUGUGUGUGUUUAAGGUAUACGUUCAUCAAUAGGGGUAAGUCUCACCUUUUCAAGUUUCUGUUCCUAGAAAAUAUGUAAUAAAGUAGACUAUUUUCUGAUGGGAGAAACAGGGUUUUUAGGAAUUAAACAUCAAGGAAAUACAAACAGCAGGAUCACACAAGUAGAGGGAGUUCAGCUUAAAACUAUUAUUCCUUCACCAAGUGCUUAAGCCCUACUAAGUAAGGGUAUACAUGUCACCUGGAAUUGUCUUAAAAGUUAUCAUAAGACUUGAGCACGUCACCAGAACAGAACCUAAGAUAGGAAGAGCCACUACAGUGUUCAUGGAUGGGAAGACUCAACACUGUAAAAAUAUUUUUCUGCCAAACUAAUCUAGAAAUUCAAUUAAGUGUCACUUUUAAAAAAGAACUUUAAAAGAUAACUCAAGUUCACCUAAGAGUGGAUUAACAAAAGUAUUCAAGAAAUAAAAAAGAAAGAAAAAAUAACUAAGCUUUGCAGGGCAACUGGAAUACCUAUCAAGAUAAAAAGCCAUUAAUCCAGAAAUUCUAAUUCCAUACUAUAUAUACAAUUGUAUAUAUACAAAGAAUUGUGUAUAUAUAGUAUGGUAUUACUGGAGUUAAAAAAAAGGGGUACACGUGGGUGAGACACAGAGGCCCAUGCCCAUGUGUCAGUAGAGCACCUCCUGUAGUAGCUGUUAGCUCUAAGAAGCCGAGUGGGAGAGUAAGUCUUCUCCUUCCUGUACUCUCUGUAUUGACAGUAUGCAUGUAUUCUGGUUCAGAAACAAGAAUAAUUAGAAGGAAGAAAGGGGCUUGGGAGGGCUUCCCUUCCAAGGGAUAAACUGGAAGCAACCAGUUUAGCAUAUACUAUAAACUGUAGCAAGCAGAACAGUGCAUAAUAGACAAAUCUGUUGUCUUCUGUGGGACAGGAGAAACUAGAGACAGUCUUACUGUAUACAGAAAAUGAGUAUUACAUACAGGAAGCAUUUUAAGUCAGUGGCUAAAGUAUGGACUAUUUAAUAAAUUUGUUGAGGCAACUUGCUGCCCAUGUGACGUGAAACAAGAUAAAGUGCCGUACUUCAUAUCAUAUUCCCCACCCCUCAACGUAUGUCCUAGCUGGGUAAGUUAAAAAGUGACUGUUUAAUAAGAACUUUUAGAAUUGUAUUAGCUGUAUCAUUACCAACAAAAAGAACAGAAGUAAAAACAACAGAACAGUCUAGUAAAGUGAUUUAUGGAAUUAGUAGUUUUCCCACGGUUUUCCUUCAUGAAUAGUUAAUGCUUAUGAGUACAGAAUUGCAAACCAAGUUAAGUGCCAAAUGCUCUCGAACAGAGAAAAUGCAAAUGCUGGAGCUGACAGCAAUCCUGUCAGAGGUCAGGCACGGUGCCGGUUGGCUGGCUGGCUGCGAGAUGCCCAGCAUACCUAAUUGUUUUGGAAGCCUGGGCCCCGGUGGAGAACUUCCUUGCUCUCCAGCACCCACACUUCUGGGCGAGGCUAGGCAAAAGAAGCUGCGUGUUCAGGUAUACGUCUGAAAAUAAGAAACAAAGACUGCGGCUUCUUACCUUAGGCUCUGAUUUUGUAUUUCCUAUCACUUUAAGGAGGACAGUCUUUUACCAGUGUUUAGUCCAAGGUUUAGUUGGCAGGGCCUCACAAAACUUUCUUUUGUCACCUUUGGGAGAGAGCUACGAAUAACAAUGUACUGCCCACUGUUUUGUACUGUUCAGUCUAAUGCCUUGCUUAAAAAAGAAUGAAAGACCAUAACCAGAGCUCAUUUAACAUAAGAAGGUGACAUGGAAGAGCAACAUUUUGGAAAUGGCAGUCAAAACCAAACUUCUUUGAAGUGUCUCAUACUGCUCCUGUUUUAUUUCAGGGGAUUUGUGGAAUUUACCUGGUUCAGUGUUUAUAAAUAUUUAUUUUUUAUGCUUACUGAGGGCCAGUUAUAAUUAUACUAUCAUUCACUUAAUCCUCAUGACUGUCUCAUGAACUAGGUGCUAUUAGUAUGGUCAUUUCACAUGUAAGGAAAGUGAGGCACAGAGAGCUUAAGGCACUUGCCCCAGGUCUCAGAGCUGGUAUGUGAAGGAGCCACUCCCAGAAUCCAGGGUGUCUGAGUGUGCUCCCAACUACACACUACAUCACCCCCCAGGAAAUGAGACAACCCUAAAUUCCUCCAUUAGAUGCCCCCUUCCUUCCUUUCAGAGGAAACAAUAUUCCUCCUCUUCUAAGGCUGAUCUUUCCACUAGGGCCCUUAAAAGAUGAAUCUGUGGCCCACACCAAUCAACAUGCCAAGAACAGCAAAAACCUUUCUCUUAGACAACAGGCACCUUUCAAGCUGUCUCCUCUCUAGUGCCAUUUUUCUUAAGUGAGGGCUACUCUUCAUGCCCUACUUCCCUCUCAACACGCCCUUGCAGUCUGGCUCCAGCCUCACUAUUCCAAUCUAGUUGCUGAAUUGCUUUCUUCUCAGAACCACCCCCUCAGGACAUCCACAACGCGAAGCUCUUGGCACUUCUCAUUCUUUUCUAACUAAUUGUUCCUCCCCUCCACCCCCCAAUCACUCUUCAAUCUGUCCAUUCCUCUCCAACUCUAUGGCAGGCCAAUAUCAUCUCUUUUGGACUCCUGUGUAGUCUCCUGUCCCCAACAAUCCCAUUCUCUGCUGCACACAGAGUGAAGCUUACUGUGUCACACACCUGCUUACAAUUAGCACUUCACUGGCUUCCCUCUGUUUUCAGGACAAAGAACAAAGUCCUUGCUGUCACCUACAAGAUGCAACCCAGUCCUGCUGAGUCUACCUCUGUCAUGAGCCAAUGCUUCUCCCCAGCCCUAUCGCUCCCGGCUGUGAAGACAGACACUGACACUGUGGAGGCCAUCUCUUUGCUCCAGCCUAACACUGCUGCCGACCCCUCUCCCCUAAGGAAGGGUCAGCAUCAAAGGCUCCCCCGCUGACUAGCAAGUAAAAUAAAAACACUGGGACUUGA